GAGGCUGUAGCUCAGUGGUAAAGUGCUUGCCUCACAUGUAUGAGGCACUGGGUUCAAUCUCAGCACCACA
rnacentral:tRNA from 1 species